UAAGUUAUGGCCUAGUUAAUUGUAGGCCCUGUGAAUGGUUUGACGAGUUUUCUUCUGUCUCUAGCUUGUUUAAGUGAACUUGAAUUGGAUGUGCAAAUGCUUCCUUGGUAAAGAAAGACGAGAAGACCCCGUGAAGUUAGAAAUUAAUGUGCAGAAUAGUGGGAGGCUACUUUUUCUGCCUUAUGGUUUUGGCUGGGGCAGCAAGGGGGCAAAAGUAGACCCCUUAAAAUUUAAUUCUGGUGAGUAAUGACCCAUAAGGUUUAAGGGUAUGAUUAGUAGAAGAAGUUACUCCGGGGAUAACAGCGUAAUCCGCCUUGACAGUCCUUAUAGAUGGGUGGGUUUGCGACCUCGAUGUUGGCUCUGGAUGUCCUGAAGCUGUAGGCGGUUUCAAGGGUUGGUUCGUUCGCCCAUUAAAAUCCAACGUGAUCU
rnacentral:rRNA from 1 species